AGCUCCAAUAGCGUAUAUUAAAGUUGCUGCGGUUAAAAAGCUCGUAGUUGGAUCUCAGUCUUUGUUUUAAGGUCUGCCUUGAGGUAGUACUUUAUAAACUAGACAUCUUGCCGGCUCUCUCGGCUUGCACUUUAUUGUGUGUGUCGAGGGACUGGCGCGUUCACUUUGAAAAAAUUAGAGUGCUUAAAGCAGGUCCUCGAUACCUGAAUAGUGGUGCAUGGAAUGAAAGAACAGGACUUCGGUUCCGUUCUUUUUGUCGGUCUUUUCCGAACUGAAGUAAUGAUUAAAAGGAACAGACGGUGUCAUUCGUAUUGUAGCGCUAGAGGUGAAAUUCUUGGACCGCUACAAGACGACCUACUGCGAAGGCAUCUGACAAGGAUGUUUUCAUUAAUCAAGAACG
rnacentral:rRNA from 1 species